AUAAAAGAAUCAAUAAUAAAAAUAAACAAAUGUAGUAAUAUUCUUUUUCCAUUUUGCUUUUGCUUAUUCCAUUUUGUCUUUGCCUUUUCUGUUUUGUCUUUGCUUUUUCCGUUUUGUCUUUGCUUUUUCCAUUUGCCUUUGCUUUUGCUUUUUCCAUUUUGUCUUUGCUUUUCUCACUUUGCCUUUGUCUUUUCCAUUUGCGUUUUGCCUUAGCUUGAGCCAUGAAGUAAAGGCAAAGGCAAAACGCAAAUGGAAAAGACAAAGGCAAAAGGAGAGAGACCCGCCUACAGCCAUUUGAUUGACAGCUUGAGCCAUGAAGUAAAGGCAGUCAAUCAAAUGGCUGUAGGCGGGUCUCUCUCCUUUUGCCUUUGUCUUUUCCAUUUGCGUUUUGCCUUUGCCUUUACUUCAUGGCUCAAGCUGUCAAUCAAAUGGCUGUGGGCGGGUCUUCCUGUCCAGGAUGACUAGUCCAUACCUGAUCACACGAUUCCUGCUGGACAGUGGUAGCUCUGUAUACAUGCUAGCUCUUAGCGCGGGCGACAGGAAGCAGUGUCACGGGCAAAACAGGGAAAUAUGGCAGAGGUGGACGAAUUGAGAAGAGGAGUUCAACAAGAACUAUUGGCAAUUGCUCGGUAUGUGGAGGAAAAUUUUCCAACAGACUACAUUUUAAGGUUGGUGGAAGAUGCCAUGGAAAGUCUUGGAGAAAUAUCUGCGUUGAUGAAUGCAGACAUCGACGAAGCUGUGUGGCGCAAUCUGGAGGAGGUACGCAUGCAACUAUGUGUUGAAGCUAGGCAGUCAGGACCUGGACGACCUAGACUAGAAAUACCGGUGGACAUUAUGGAGUCAUACAUUCUUCUGGGAUUACCAGCUGCCAAAAUAGCUGAACUGUUUGGAGUGUCAACUAGAACCAUCAGAAGGAGAAUGGCAUCCCAUGGAUUGAAGUUGUCAGAUUUGUACACUCCACUGACUGAUGAUGAACUUGAUGGCAUUGUAGCAGACAUCCACAGGCAUAAUCCCAGAGCAGGGAUUAGGAUGAUCCAUGGUCUUCUUAAAUCACAGGGUACACAUGUGCAAACCUAUCGUGUGCAAAACUCUUUGCGAAGAGUGGAUCCUGAGGGUACCCUAGCACGGCAAAUAUCCAUGCAUGUAUUGAGGCGCAGGCAGUAUAGUGUCCCUGCUCCAAACAGUUUAUGGCACAUUGAUGGAAACCACAAACUAAUAAGGCAGCGGAUUGUGAUACAUGCAGGAGUGGAUGGAUUCAGCAGGCUUAUUGUUUAUAUAGAUGCAGCUACAAACAACAAAUCCACGACUGUACUGGACAGUUUCAUGUCGGCUGUUUCUCAGUACGGCUUGCCA